GUAUCUGCCCUUUGGUUGGGGGAUAGCCUAUGGAAACAUGGGGUAAUACCGAAUAAGCUCUUUUUGCUAUGGUGAUUAGAGGAAAAAGGCAUUAGCCUUGCCGAAGGAUGAGUCUGCGUCUGAUUAGCUAGUUGGUGUGGUAAUGGCGCACCAAGGCGACGAUCAGUAGCCGGCCUGAGAGGGUGACCGGCCACAUUGGGACUGAGACACGGCCCAGACUCCUACGGGAGGCAGCAGCUAAGAAUCUUCCGCAAUGGGCGCAAGCCUGACGUAGCGACGCCGCGUGGGUGAAGAAUGCCGAGAGGUUGUAAAACCCUUUUCUUACAGAAGAAUAAUAAUCGGAGGUAAUGCCGGUUAGAUGACGUUAUGUAAGGAAUAAGCACCGGCCAAUUACGUG
rnacentral:rRNA from 1 species